AGUGAACGCUGGCGGUAGGCCUAACACAUGCAAGUCGAACGGCAGCACAGUAAGAGCUUGCUCUUACGGGUGGCGAGUGGCGGACGGGUGAGGAAUACAUCGGAAUCUACUUUUUCGUGGGGGAUAACGUAGGGAAACUUACGCUAAUACCGCAUACGACCUACGGGUGAAAGCAGGGGAUCUUCGGACCUUGCGCGAUUGAAUGAGCCGAUGUCGGAUUAGCUAGUUGGCGGGGUAAAGGCCCACCAAGGCGACGAUCCGUAGCUGGUCUGAGAGGAUGAUCAGCCACACUGGACCUGAGACACGGUCCAGACUCCUACGGGAGGCAGCAGUGGGGACUAUUGGACAAUGGGCGCAAGCCUGAUCCAGCCAUACCGCGUGGGUGAAGAAGGCCUUCGGGUUGUAAAGCCCUUUUGUUGGGAAAGAAAAGCAGCAGGUUAAUACCCCGCUGUUCUGACGGUACCCAAAGAAUAAGCACCGGCUAACUUCGU
rnacentral:rRNA from 1 species